GGAAAAAGCUCAGCCAAUAAGAGAUUCGGCGGAGACAGAAGUACUAUAGCGACACGUCAAUCAAUUACCGUAGCAUGGACUCGUCUUUCAAGCACAAAACGCCCUGGUAUCUUUAUAGGUUUUACAUACAUUUUCCCAUCAAGCUUCAAUUUAUCCAUACAUUUCUGAUUUUUGAUUGAGUAGGCCUAUCGUUAAUUUAAGGCUCCGCUUCUCUAAAGGGACGGACUUUAUCACCACUGGAUAAUUUGUCAGAAGAGCUACCAGUACAGAAGACGCGCUGGUAAUUCUCUCGACUACGAAAGGAUCUCUUACAACAGGUUAUCCCAGCGGAACCAUGGAAAUGGAGUAAAACUACAGGGAAAAAUGUGGAGGUAAGUGAAAUAAUAAUUUCAGCAGUGUUUACAAUCAGUUAUCUGACCAGUUUUUGUUUUUUGUUGGGAAGAAGUGUAAUGUAAUGUAAUGUAAUGUAAAAGAAGUGUAGCAUGCCUGUCCUUACUUAAGGCUAGCAAAGUGGCCUUUAUGGCAUUGAAUACCAAGCAAAUUGCAAGUUUGUAAGCUUGGGACAUUUUAAAAGCAGGAAUGCUCUUCCCUGGGUCUGCGUGUGAAAACAUGCACAGGAAGUUGCCAGGCGGCAGGUUCUAUAAUUUGACUAAAUGAUGCUGAUUACACGUCCUGCCAGUAGUAGUAGCAUCAGUCAGAAUAGGCGUGAACGAUAACAAUCUGGAAUUUUUCUUCUUUUCCAAGGACAAAACAUCAAUCAAGCUAGAGAGUUUUCAAACUCUUUAGUUCUUCAUAAGUUACCUAUGCAGCCUCUUGAUGGUCCAUAGUUGUUUCUUAGAAAUUACAACCAUAUAAAUGGGAGGAGGAGGUCACAAAAAACAUUGGGUGCAAUUUUUAGGACAUACCUCAGAAAUGUUAACAGAUUAUGGUACAGGUAUUCCAAGUAAGUUCUUAAAAUUUAACAAAUUCAAACAGUAUCACCAGUUGAUAAAAUGAUUUUGAGACUGCCAAUGGCAAUUCUAGGUGCAGAAGAUACAGAAGUGAUCAGUCAUUCAGUUAAAAAAGGAGAGCCAGUUAUGCACAUCUCAUCAGGGUACUCAUUAAAAACACUUUACAGUAUGCAUGUGCACCUUCUUAAAACUUAACACUUAAUUAUUAAAUGUAGAAACCACUGUCCCUGGAAUCUUCUUUUUUUUCUUCUUCUUCUUUUUUUGACAUUUCACUUCCUGGAAGAUCAAACGCUGGCAUGUCUGAAUGCCGCUGCUUUCCUGUUGAACGUUGUCUUUUGUUUACUGCAGCUGCCGAAGCAUUGAAAUUUUGAAAAGUUCUUGAUUACAAGAUAACUUUCUGGGUGCCAUCACAUAGGCUAACUUGUCCUUACCGGUUCCACACGAGACCUCGUGGCCCCAUUCCAUUUGUGUGGGCCUGGCUUCUGGUGCAUUUCAGGAAGAGGAUAACAUUCAUGUGGAGGGAAGCGACGUAAGGAGCUCUGCUUGAAGGAUGAGGGUGUAAUCGGGUCUCUGGUCGACAAGCUGGAGACGACUGCGAUGGGGGAGUGAUGUGUUGAGCUUAAGCCAAAAUACGGCAUAAUGUGCAAAAUCGAGAACUGGGUAGCGGAUAAAAGGAAACAUGUCCACUGCUGUCACGACUGGAACGACAAGGAGAUUGUCAUGUUGUACAAAUAUUUGACAUCAAAAUGUUUUGCUUCACCAGCCUCUAAGAGACUACCUCAGAAAGAACACUGAAUGGUUGGCUGAAAAUGAAGGAGUGGGUGGACAGACCUGACCUCCAGCACUCCCUGGGACCCCCUUCAGUGGCGGCCUGGAGAGCAGAAGCAGAGGCCCUGCAUGGAGCACAACGCUUAGAGAAGGAAACCGAGGUGAAAAAAAGACUGUGCAGACUCCAAGAAGGGCUUCAUUAUGGCUGAGGUAAUGAAAUUCCAGGAUUUUUAAAGAGGGAAGCAACGAGAGUGCUUGUCAAGGUAAGGUGAUGGGGUGCGGGCUGAGACGGGGGAAGUCUCCUGCGAUCGGACGAGCUGACAGCCGCUGCAGCACUCUGACCACAAACGUACCUCACCUUUCCCCUGGGGAGGAAAUUACUGUGUGCCCGCCACACCUGACGAGCGCCCACAUUCUGCAUUUGCUGUAUAUCGUUCAGGUAAAAUGGCUCAAGCACCCCAAUUCUACUCCUGCUCUACAUAUGCAUAUCAUAGCGCAGGUAAAAGGGCUCACAUAAAACCUGUUAUUUCUCCUCCAAAUGUAUGAACUAUGAAAACAAAAGCAAGGCUUUAUUUCCUCACCUUUCCAUAUGCAUGCUCUCAUUAUUUAGAAGUAUAGUUAUGUAUAUCAUAAUAUUUCAGAAUAUUUACCUCUAGGUUCCUAAGUCAAGGUAGCGCAGUGACUGUAAUAGGAAAAGGCAAGUUAAACAAAGUGUGUAAUCCAUAACAUGAGAACUGUUUCACGGAUGAACAGCGCAUAAAAAUGUCUCAUGUCUUCUUUUAUCGCAGAUAAAUACACGUUCAACCUUUUUACUGGGCGGUGUUGCUGUUAUGUGGGCGCUUCUCCCAGGAUCGGAGUCAGUGAGUAUGUUUCCAGGGCAAGUUUAUUUAGCAGUCAGCCCCUAAAACAUCACAGGUGAACUCGAACAAAAGCAGUUUGUCACAUCUACAAGAGGAGUAGUGCGAAUGGUGUUGUCUUUAGAGGUGAUUUCUGCUCUCUAGGGGGAGUAACUGAGAGACGCCAGCCACUGCUCGCUACAUCCAUCCUUGUUGAGGCAAAGUUAUAAUUCUGAGCUUGUCUUUAUUUCCACAGGAGGGCUCGAGGUAAGGAGCAACGUUCUAAAGCGCUCAGUGUCACAUAAUGGAUUACGGCUAAUUUCUGUGCUUCUCGGUGUGAUUUUACAGGUCAGAUUUUACUGGUUUAUCUCUGCACUCCUGCCCUAGAGAACGAAAGACCUCUGUGGCUCACGGGCAUCUAAACGGAAGUGGCUGGCACCCGUUAGGAGAGGAGGGGUGCAAUGAAGGGAUCAUUAUGUUGGUCAUCCCGUUAAUUAAGCUUCAGGUGCAACCAAGCACAUCAUGUGGCCAGUGGUGCACAUCCAAUUGGAGAUUAGGUCACAUGCUGGCAAUACAUCAACUCACAUAAAUACGCGCAGGAAAAACAUGAACUCCAGGAUAUGUCCUGCUGUCUGAAAUAUCGCUGCUUCUAGUCGGGCAUAACAAGGAAGGCUUGCUCUCUGCUUCAGCCUUUGGCUUAAACGAUCUCUUGCAGGGAUCUAGUGCAAAGCAGAGAUCACACGCCAGUUUGACCCCCUGUGAAUUGCUGUCAAAAUGGAAAUCUCAGACAGUGCCUUUUGUUCAGGAUAUUAGUGUAUAAUUGAGAUAGGGCCUUUAACCCUGAUUAAAGUGCAGAAAGAACAGCACACUCAAUACACAGAGAGGGAAAAUGGAUCCCACCACCACCACUGAAGGGACAUCACACAACUCAGACUGCUGUCUGCACAACAUAGAAUUGGAACUGUUUCUAUACUCAUAUAGGUGUCGGUAAAAAUGCAAUUGAAUUAAAUUAUAGCUAGAAAAGGCAGCCGUGUUUUUUAGACAUUGUAUGCUGUAUGCAUUAAUUUGCAGUGGUAUUACAUUCAAAUAACUGCCAGAGCACGGCAUUCAAAAACUAUAUAUAUAUAUAUAUAUAUAUAUAUAUAUAUAUAUAUAUAUAAGUUAAGAAUUAAAUAGCCUUGAUUCAGUAAUGGUCAGGAUAAUUAUUGAAUCAGUUUUAUAUUAUUAGAUAAAAAAGGCUAAUGACAGAAAACUUUGUUGCAUUUGUUGUGCUCGAAUAACAAAAUUAUAGGAUAUUUUUAUACAAAUUUUAAAUCUAUUAAGAACUGAUUUUUUCAGAGUUUUUUAUGUAAAAUUAAAAAAUUGUAAUAAUAAUGAAAACUUAAUGUUUGUGUAAUAAUCCAGAGUAACCUACAGUAUAUAUACCUACAACCUAUAUAUACUUUUCUUGGUGCUUUAACUGGAACAGGUCCAAAACAGAGAUCAAAAUGUUAAGAUUUCAAGAAUAAGUCAAGAUUUAAAAAAUAAAAUAUUUUAAGAAUUUACAAUUUUAUAUUCUUUCUGUUCCAGUUUGACAAAAACUCAGCAUUGGAUGGCCAACACAACAAUUAAAGUUCUACAGUCUUUACUUGUGUAUAUUCAACUUUGAUGUUUAAAUUAAGCUGUAAAUGGCAUUGGCAGGCUAUUUUCAGUUUAAAUUGCAACAUACAAACAUACUUUUUUUAAAUAAUGAGUGUCUAAUGCUUUCCCCUCAAGUUUGUAUGAUGCAAUCACAAUUUAUUUAGGCAAAUACAUGCAACAGAGAUUUAAAAAAUACACAUAAACCUAUAUAUUCAAACAGAUGAACAAAUAUUUUUAUCAGACAAAACACUGAACAAACAAAAACCAGGAAUUAAAAAUGAACUUACUGAACUCAAAAUGAGAAAUCUUAUUAAAAUGCAAAUUGGUACAUGUUUUUUCAACUGCCCUUACAAAAAUUUCAAACUGCUCAGACAUCAAAAAUACCUAAUACAUAAGUGAUAUACAACGUGAAUUGUAGUCACUGAUGUCUACUUUGCAAUAGCUAUAUUCAAUGUAUUGUUAAUUUGUAUUUUUACGUUUGCAUUCAUUUGCCCAGACAUUGUAGAAUUAAAUUCUAUAUUCAGUGAUGCUCAUUUUCUGCUGCAGUGGUAUUUUUUCUUCUUGUACUGUAGUGAUGAUGAUCUUGACCUAUGGCAAACCCUGUGAGGAUAAAUUAAGAAAGGUUGGUGAGAGGGGAUAAAACAAGAAAUUGUUAUAAAUUAAACUAAAUGCUUUAAUAUUGAGAGUUUACCUUACCUAUUUUAUACAGACUAAUCUUUAAUAAUAUGAUGAACUACAUUUGUAUCUAUAGGAAUUUUUUGCUGUUCAAUUUUAUUUGUCUUCUCAGAGAUCUUUUUUAUUUAGUGACACAAAGUCUUAAAAAAUAUGGCUUAUAUUUUAAUAAUAUAUACAUGUAAGUCUACUACUGUUUAGUAGUUUUAAAGUAUGGUAAUUGUUAAUGAACCAGUUAUAUGCCUGGCUUUUUUUUGGGGGGAGGGGGGGGGGGGGAGUCAACUUUCCAAACAGUGUUACACAAUAUUUUAACAACAGCGUUCUCAACAUUUUUAAACACAUCUAAAAGAAAAUAAUGUAAUUUGCACAAAUGCUAUAAGAAAAUCUAUUUGGCAGCAGAAGCCGUGCUGUAUGUGUUCUGCAAGCAGAGCUACAGAUCAGAGCUUCAGGUUUUCGCAGCGAGCUCUCAGACUAAUCCCUCUUUCGGGUCGAUUUGCUCACGGGAGUGCACGCGACCGUGGCAGAGCCGGCACCGUUUAAUGUCAGUGGAAGGAAGCAAGGGGCUUCAAUAGGCCGGUAUGAGACGGCCAGUGUACAGGGAUAUCACAUUAUUAGUAAUCAUAUCUGCUUAGGCAAAGCUUGCUCCUCCAGAUGGCUGCUUUCAAGUGCAAAUGAACCAGUUAGACGUGUCUGGUUUAAUACGUACUCAGGAAUCACAAACAGCCAUUGAUUUUUUUCUCCCUCUCCUCCAGCCACCACUGCUGCUGGUAUUGAGCCUGGAUUAAAUGGUCUCCUGGGCCUUAAAAAGAACAUCGAUUCUUUUAAUUAAUUGUGCAUUCUGUAGAACCAGAAUGCCUAAACCCAUCCGUAUUAGCACUUCAAGUCAAUUAUUUUGAAUCUG